AUAUUAAAAGAUUUCAUUUAAAAGAUGAGGUUCCAAUUUUAACUUUAAAUAAUCACCUGGAUGAAAUCCAUUAUUUCAAUAUUGUCAAAAUUAUAAAUCUAUGGAACAAUCUUUCUUCUCUAACCCUAAAUCUGAGAAAACCUGUAAUAUAUAGUAUAAUACUUAUUGUGACUAUACCAAAAAUUAGGAUUGUUACAAUCAAGUAUUUUACUGUCUAUUAGUUUUUCUCUGAUUUAGAAUUAGACCAGUAAAGUUGUUAAAUUAUUAAAUCUAUGUAUUUUAAAUUUAUUUAUAUACGUAGUUUUGUUAAUACUAUGUAAAAUUUAAUUAUUGUAAGUUUGUUUAGACUUUUAAUAUUGCGUGUUGCGUCUCCUAAAUGAGAUAAAAACCAGUAUUUAUAUUAGCUGAAAUGUAAUCUAUUUUUUAACAGCACUGAAAAUGUAAAAAAAGUAAAAUUUUUAUAUAAAUUUAAAAACAAAUGUUUUUUAACAAACAUAAAUUUUAGGUUUAUAACUAACCACUUCUCGAAUAAUUUUGUUCAUUUUGCAAACAAAUGUUUGUAUGCGUUGAUCUUCGAGGAUAUUGUCGGAGUGCUAACUUUGCAAAUUUUUUCAUAAGUUUUCUUUCUGCUUCUUGAUAUUCUUUUUCUGUAAGACACUCGUCUGUUCUUGGAUCAAAAACCAAGGAUCCAAAAAACCUAAUAUAAAAUAGUGUGAGCAAAAAGUAGUAACUGAAAUGAACAGCCUAAUAGAGUUUGAUAAAUUUGACUCAGCACUUGAUAAUGUUUCAUCAAGUAACUCUGUAGUAACUCUGCAGUUGUAAAUUGCUAAAUACUGAUUUGUCAAAUUUUUUCUUUUUUAAAAAUUUUCUUUUAAAAUAUAUAAUUUUUACUACUUAAUUAGGAAUUGUCAGGUUUUCCAUAAUUUCUUUCUAUUAGUAACAAAGAGUUCAAAAUAUUGGUAGUAAGAAUUGUCAAAAAUGUGUAGCUAUGAUGUGGUAAUUGUGGUAAAUGUGGUAAAAUGUGGUAAAGAAUUGUCAAAAAUGUGGUAGCUAUGAUGAAGAGUUUUAUGACAAAUUCAUUCAUGAUCAAAUUUAAUAUGGCAGCUGGAAAAAACAAAGGAUUGUUUUAGUCUAACCAAGCUAUACAACUUAAUAAAAAUUUGUGCAUCGACUGCUCACUAAUCAUAAACAGAGUCGAUUGUCGAUGCAAUAAUUACUGAUUCGUUAAAGCUGGCAACUUCUACUUGUGCUAAAGUACCUUAAAUCAAACAGAUAUCAUUGUUACGAUAUUAAUUUGUUUGUAAAUUGUUUUAGA